AUUGAACGCUGGCGGCAUGCCUUACACAUGCAAGUCGAACGGCAGCACGGGUGCUUGCACCUGGUGGCGAGUGGCGAACGGGUGAGUAAUAUAUCGGAACGUACCUUAUCGUGGGGGAUAACGCAGCGAAAGCUGCGCUAAUACCGCAUACGCCCUGAGGGGGAAAGCGGGGGACCGUAAGGCCUCGCGCGAUUAGAGCGGCCGAUAUCUGAUUAGCUUGUUGGUGGGGUAAAAGCCCACCAAGGCGACGAUCAGUAGCUGGUCUGAGAGGACGAUCAGCCACACUGGGACUGAGACACGGCCCAGACUCCUACGGGAGGCAGCAGUGGGGAAUUUUGGACAAUGGGGGCAACCCUGAUCCAGCAAUGCCGCGUGAGUGAAGAAGGCCUUCGGGUUGGUAAAGACUCUUUUGUUCAGGGAGAAACAGCAGCUCUAACACAGUCUGCGAAUGACGGUACCUGAAGAAUAAGACACCGGCU
rnacentral:rRNA from 1 species